UUUAAAAAUACAACAACCGUUUAUAUUUUAUUUUUCAUAUCAUGGUUUAUAAAGGAAAAAUGAAAGGACGCAAAAGUACACGGACCCAUUCUCCAGACAGAGACAAAGACAUGGACAUCAAAACAGAAAAUGAAGUACUUGAUCUUGGAUUGUUUGGAGUAAACGCUGGCAAAUAAUGAAGCAGGAAAUGAAAAUGCUUGACCAAAGCAAUUUUUGUACUUGGCUGUAAGAAAGAAGUCCUUUGUGUGCACACAUGACUGGAGAUUAAAGUUACUAAAUGUUGCUUUUUUCUAGCUGGUGACAUAACGUGGUAUUAUUUUCAAAUGUAUUUAUCUAAUACACAUUUGCACAUCUGUAAACAUUAAUUUUAUAUUGCAUGUUUUUUUAUAUUUAACCAGUUGUUGUAUAUUGCUUUCUGUUAUUACAUCUGUUUUUUUAUUGCCUGUUUAUUGUUUAAAACAAUUAAGUUAAUGUUUCUCUGUUAGCUUUUAUGUUACAUUGGCUAUUUCUUUGCUUUUA